GAUGAACGCUGGCGGCGUGCCUAAUACAUGCAAGUCGAGCGAACAGACGAGGAGCUUGCUCCUCUGACGUUAGCGGCGGACGGGUGAGUAACACGUGGAUAACCUACCUAUAAGACUGGGAUAACUUCGGGAAACCGGAGCUAAUACCGGAUAAUAUAUUGAACCGCAUGGUUCAAUAGUGAAAGACGGUUUUGCUGUCACUUAUAGAUGGAUCCGCGCCGCAUUAGCUAGUUGGUAAGGUAACGGCUUACCAAGGCAACGAUGCGUAGCCGACCUGAGAGGGGGAUCGGCCACACUGGAACUGAGACACGGUCCAGACUCCUACGGGAGGCAGCAGUAGGGAAUCUUCCGCAAUGGGCGAAAGCCUGACGGAGCAACGCCGCGUGAGUGAUGAAGGUCUUCGGAUCGUAAAACUCUGUUAUUAGUGAAGAACAAAUGUGUAAGUAACUAUGCACGUCUUGACGGUACCUAAUCAGAAAGCCACGGCUAACUACGUG
rnacentral:rRNA from 1 species